rnacentral:rRNA from 1 species
CGCGGCCUAUCAGCUUGUUGGUGGGGUAACGGCCUACCAAGGCAUCGACGGGUAGCUGGUCUGAGAGGACGAUCAGCCACACUGGGACUGAGACACGGCCCAGACUCCUACGGGAGGCAGCAGUAGGGAAUCUUGCGCAAUGGGCGAAAGCCUGACGCAGCAACGCCGCGUGGGGGAAGAAGGCUCUCGGGUCGUAAACCCCUUUCAGCAGGGACGAAACUGACGGUACCUGCAGAAGAAGGACCGGCCAACUACGUGCCAGCAGCCGCGGUAACACGUAGGGUCCAAGCGUUGUCCGGAUUUAUUGGGCGUAAAGAGCUCGUAGGCGGUUUUGUAAGUCGGGUGUGAAAACUCAGGGCUCAACCCUGAGACGCCACCCGAUACUGCAAUGACUCGAGUCCGGUAGGGGAGCACGGAAUUCCUGGUGUAGCGGUGAAAUGCGCAGAUAUCAGGAGGAACACCAGUGGCGAAGGCGGUGCUCUGGGCCGGUACUGACGCUGAGGAGCGAAAGCAUGGGGAGCGAACAGGAUUAGAUACCCUGGUAGUCCAUGCCGUAAACGUUGGGCACUAGGUGUGGGAUUCAGUCAACGGAUUCCGUGCCGUAGCUAACGCAUUAAGCGCCCCGCCUGGGGAGUACGG